CCUACGGGGCGCAGCAGUGGGGAAUAUUGGACAAUGGGCGAAAGCCUGAUCCAGCCAUGCCGCGUGUGUGAAGAAGGCCUUCGGGUUGUAAAGCACUUUCAGUGGGGAAGAAAGCCUUGGGGCUAAUACCCUCGAGGAAGGACAUCACCCACAGAAGAAGCACCGGCUAACUCCGUGCCAGCAGCCGCGGUAAUACGGAGGGUGCGAGCGUUAAUCGGAAUUACUGGGCGUAAAGCGCGCGUAGGCGGUCUGAUAAGCCGGUUGUGAAAGCCCCGGGCUCAACCUGGGAACGGCAUCCGGAACUGUCAGGCUAGAGUGCAGGAGAGGAAGGUAGAAUUCCCGGUGUAGCGGUGAAAUGCGUAGAGAUCGGGAGGAAUACCAGUGGCGAAGGCGGCCUUCUGAACUGACACUGACGCUGAGGUGCGAAAGCGUGGGUAGCAAACAGGAUUAGAUACCCUAGUAGUC
rnacentral:rRNA from 1 species